rnacentral:rRNA from 1 species
GAUGAACGCUGGCGGCGUGCCUAACACAUGCAAGUCGAACGGAGUCGUUUUGGAAAUCUCUUCGGAGAUGGAAUUCUCGACUUAGUGGCGGACGGGUGAGUAACGCGUGAGCAAUCUGCCUUUAAGAGGGGGAUAACAGUCGGAAACGGCUGCUAAUACCGCAUAAAGCAUUAAAUUCGCAUGUUUUUGAUGCCAAAGGAGCAAUCCGCUUUUAGAUGAGCUCGCGUCUGAUUAGCUAGUUGGCGGGGUAACGGCCCACCAAGGCGACGAUCAGUAGCCGGACUGAGAGGUUGAACGGCCACAUGGGGACUGAGACACGGCCCAGACUACUACGGGAGGCAGCAGUGGGGAAUAUUGCGCAAUGGGGGAAACCCUGACGCAGCAACGCCGCGUGAUUGAAGAAGGCCUUCGGGUUGUAAAGAUCUGUAAUCAGGGACGAAACAAAUGACGGUACCUGAAGAAUAAGCUCCGGCUAACUACGUG